UCCCCGUUCGUACAACGGCAGUACGCCCGGCUCUGGACCGGGAAAUCGUGGUUCGAAUCCACGGUGGGGAG
rnacentral:tRNA from 1 species